rnacentral:rRNA from 1 species
AGUGAACGCUGGCGGUAGGCCUAACACAUGCAAGUCGAACGGCAGCACAGUAAGAGCUUGCUCUUACGGGUGGCGAGUGGCGGACGGGUGAGGAAUACAUCGGAAUCUACUUUUUCGUGGGGGAUAACGUAGGGAAACUUACGCUAAUACCGCAUACGACCUACGGGUGAAAGCAGGGGAUCUUCGGACCUUGCGCGAUUGAAUGAGCCGAUGUCGGAUUAGCUAGUUGGCGGGGUAAAGGCCCACCAAGGCGACGAUCCGUAGCUGGUCUGAGAGGAUGAUCAGCCACACUGGAACUGAGACACGGUCCAGACUCCUACGGGAGGCAGCAGUGGGGAAUAUUGGACAAUGGGCGCAAGCCCGAUCCAGCCAUACCGCGUGGGUGAAGAAGGCCUUCGGGUUGUAAAGCCCUUUUGUUGGGAAAGAAAGGCAGCAGGUUAAUACCCCGCUGUUCUGACGGUACCCAAAGAAUAAGCACCGGCUAACUUCGUG